CCUACGGGAGGCAGCAGUGGGGAAUAUUGGACAAUGGGGGCAACCCUGAUCCAGCCAUGCCGCGUGUGUGAAGAAGGCCCUCGGGUUGUAAAGCACUUUCAGUGAGGAAGAACGCCUGGUGGUUAAUACCCAUCAGGAAAGACAUCACUCACAGAAGAAGCACCGGCUAACUCCGUGCCAGCAGCCGCGGUAAUACGGAGGGUGCGAGCGUUAAUCGGAAUUACUGGGCGUAAAGCGCGCGUAGGUGGCUUGAUAAGCCGGUUGUGAAAGCCCCGGGCUCAACCUGGGAACGGCAUCCGGAACUGUCAAGCUAGAGUGCAGGAGAGGAAGGUAGAAUUCCCGGUGUAGCGGUGAAAUGCGUAGAGAUCGGGAGGAAUACCAGUGGCGAAGGCGGCCUUCUGGACUGAUACUGACACUGAGGUGCGAAAGCGUGGGUAGCAAACAGGAUUAGAUACCCUUGUAGUC
rnacentral:rRNA from 1 species